rnacentral:rRNA from 1 species
CCUACGGGCGGCAGCAGUGAGGAAUAUUGGUCAAUGGGCGCGAGCCUGAACCAGCCAAGUAGCGUGAAGGAUGACUGCCCUACGGGUUGUAAACUUCUUUUAUAAAGGAAUAAAGUGAGGCACGUGUGCCUUUUUGUAUGUACUUUAUGAAUAAGGAUCGGCUAACUCCGUGCCAGCAGCCGCGGUAAUACGGAGGAUCCGAGCGUUAUCCGGAUUUAUUGGGUUUAAAGGGAGCGUAGAUGGUUUUGUAAGUCAGUUGUGAAAGGUUGCGGCUCAACCGGAAAAUUGCAGUUGAUACUGGCAGUCUUGAGUACAGUUGAGGUAGGCGGAAUGCGUGGUGUAGCGGUGAAAUGCAUAGAUAUCACGAAGAACUCCGAUUGCGAAGGCAGCUU